UACGUAGGCAGCAAGCGUUUGUUCGGAGUUACUGGGCGUAAAGCGCGCGCAGGCGGAUCCUGCAAGUCCGGAGUGAAAUCUCACUGCUCAACGGUGAGGCUGCUUUGGAUACUGCGGAUCUGGAGACCGGUAGAGGCUGGUAGAAUUGCAGGUGUAGCGGUGAAAUGCGUAGAUAUCGGGAGGAACACCAGUGGCGAAGGCGGCUUUCUGGCCUGUUCUUGACGCUGAGGCUGG
rnacentral:rRNA from 1 species